rnacentral:rRNA from 1 species
UAAUACGUAGGGAGCGAGCGUUGUCCGGAAUUACUGGGUGUAAAGGGAGCGUAGGCGGGGAUGCAAGUUGAAUGUUUAAACCAUCGGCUCAACCGGUGAUCGCGUUCAAAACUGCAUUUCUUGAGUGAAGUAGAGGCAGGCGGAAUUCCUAGUGUAGCGGUGAAAUGCGUAGAUAUUAGGAGGAACACCAGUGGCGAAGGCGGCCUGCUGGGCUUUAACUGACGCUGAGGCUCGAAAGCGUGGGGAGCAAACAGG